AAGUCGUAACAAGGUUUCCGUAGGUGAACCUGCGGAAGGAUCAUUACCUAGAGUUGCGGGCUUUGCCUGCCAUCUCUUACCCAUGUCUUUUGAGUACCUUCGUUUCCUCGGUGGGUUCGCCCGCCGGUUGGACAACACUUAAACCCUUUGUAAUUGAAAUCAGCGUCUGAAAAAACUUAAUAGUUACAACUUUCAACAACGGAUCUCUUGGUUCUG
rnacentral:misc_RNA from 1 species